GGUUUGUGGCUUAGUGGUAGAGCACUUGCCUGGCAUGUAUGAAGCACUGGGUUCAAUCCUCAGCACCA
rnacentral:tRNA from 1 species